GGGUCAGUAGGUUGGUCGUGCCACCGGUACGUACUGGUCUCACUGAUUCCUCCUUCCUGAAGAACCGUAAUGCCAUUAAUUUGGUGUUGCGGGGAAACAGGACUGUUACUUUGAAGAAAUUAGAGUGUUUAAAGCAGGCUAACGCUUGAAUACAUUGGCAUGGAAUAAUGAAAUAGGACGAUCGAUCCUAUUUUGUUGGUUUCUAGGAUUGACGUA
rnacentral:rRNA from 1 species